GUAACAAGGUUUCCGUAGGUGAACCUGCGGAAGGAUCAUUACCGAGUGCGGGUCCUUUGGGCCCAACCUCCCAUCCGUGUCUAUUAUACCCUGUUGCUUCGGCGGGCCCGCCGCUUGUCGGCCGCCGGGGGGGCGCCUUUGCCCCCCGGGCCCGUGCCCGCCGGAGACCCCAACACGAACACUGUCUGAAAGCGUGCAGUCUGAGUUGAUUGAAUGCAAUCAGUUAAAACUUUCAACAAUGGAUCUCUUGGUUCCGGCAUCGAUGAAGAACGCAGCGAAAUGCGAUAACUAAUGUGAAUUGCAGAAUUCAGUGAAUCAUCGAGUCUUUGAACGCACAUUGCGCCCCCUGGUAUUCCGGGGGGCAUGCCUGUCCGAGCGUCAUUGCUGCCCUCAAGCCCGGCUUGUGUGUUGGGUCGCCGUCCCCCUCUCCGGGGGGACGGGCCCGAAAGGCAGCGGCGGCACCGCGUCCGAUCCUCGAGCGUAUGGGGCUUUGUCACAUGCUCUGUAGGAUUGGCCGGCGCCUGCCGACGUUUUCCAACCAUUUUUUCCAGGUUGACCUCGGAUCAGGUAGGGAUACCCGCUGAACUUAAGCAUAUCA
rnacentral:misc_RNA from 1 species